CGUCGGUUUGGUAAACUUUGUUUAACAUACGGAUUUUAAUUAGUCCAAAGUUGAAAAAAUGUCGAAAUUAAGUGCGUCGCAAUCAAACAUAUUGCAUUGCUUUGAAAUUGAGUAUCCUCGCGGUUACUUCAACGUCAGUCCUGCUGUAUCAAUUAACGUAUAAUUUUAACUAUCAAAGUGCAAAAUAUUAUGUCAAGAAAUAUAAACAAAAUAGCCGACUUAAUUGAACUUUGUGGCCUUUUUUAUGAAAACAUAUUAUUUGUCAGCACGCCAAAGCUGUGACGCUAGCCAAUCACACGGCGCGUAAUUUGUUCUACAUUCCAAGGUUGUGACGCUGGCCAAUCAGUUUUCAUGUACUCUCUUUGAAUCACGAUAUGGCGCGCAAGCAUAUGACCGUUACAUAUUUCGACAUCAUACUGCAGUUGUGUGGACGUGUAGCGUGCAGCCGACAUCAUUUUACUCAAAUAACAGGUAAGAAUUUUGCCAUCAAAAUUCGUAGUUAUUGUUAUGAUGUUGCUUAGACAUACCUGACGUUUAUUCGAAGCACUUACUUAUUAAUUGCAACCAAUUUCUCCCCAAAACGAUAAACAAAUAUUGACACAUCACUGGGGUCGGGGACACUGGCAUGCAUGGUCACUGAUGAUACCGGCGUCCGGUACGCAUGGGAACCAGGUCGACCGCAUGCAUCCCGGCACUCGGAACAGUGUAUUGCUGAGCUGUACUAAAACGGGUUCAAUGGGAAAGUAGUGAGAGAAAUCCUGAGAAAUAAUCCUCCAUUGGCGUUUUGAACUGUACAGUAUAAUGGACGUGUGACUUAAACUUUCCGAGACGAUAUUGUUACCAUGAAUAAAUGUGGCUCAAUUACUGGAUUUCCUUUGUAUUGAAAAGUUGUUUCUGAGGAAAUAGAAAUUGCAUUUUUUUUCACUUGGUAGACCUUAUGGACAUGAAAUGCAUGAUGAUGAAAUGUACUUAAGCCUACCUGGUUAAAAAAAAUAAUAACCAGGAAAAAUAUAAUUCGAUUUUCUGCACUGUAGAGUUUCAGUUUUCAUGUAAUUUUCAGGCUAAAAAGUAAAAAUGGAUCGUCCAAAAGUGAUUGUAGAAUGGAAUGCAGUAUAUUUUCUCGAGGUCAAUUACUGCCAUACUGGAUUUCUUCGUACAGCUACACAGCGGUGAUAGGUCGUGGGUCAUGUACAUUAUACCGUUUUACUUCCCCUGAUUAUUAAACCAGGUGGGUUAUCUUCCAUAGGGAAUAGGCCUAUCAAGUGGGGGAUAAACACUCCCGAUUUCGAUUUCACAUGUUGCUAUCACCACCCCGGUGCUCUUGUACAUGUACAAGUCACAAAACGGAGGAAGUUGCUGGGUAGUUCCUUGAUCCUUUGUGUAAAACUAAAAGUUGCUGUGACAAUAGUGAGAAUGCAUAACACAAUAAUUUCUGUAUCAAAACUUUAGGUAAAAGCAAGCAUGGAUAAUUAUACCGCUGUUUGUAGCCUGUGCUGUGAAUGGUGCAAUAACAAAAUGACUCACGGUGCAGGGAGUGAGUAAUUACGUAAAUGUAUUGGCCUAAGUAAUCAAUCAUUGCAUAGGCAGGUGGUAUUUCUACAUAAACUUGUUUUUGUUUUGUGUAGAUACUAGACAUGGUUUGCAUAUUUUUUUGGGGAGUAUGCAGAGUCUAAGUUUGGCAGGUAGGACAGGUAGGGUAGUUAAUCUCACUUUUUCAGCUUCUGAAGAAAAAAAUCCUUUUCAAAAUUCCAGAAGAGUUUACAAGACCUCACAGAUGACGAAACCCCACUCAGCAAUGAUUCAUACAGGAAUUGAGGAGGAGCCAAAGUCAGCAUGGAUUGUCGAACCAGUAUGGAGGAGUUAUGUAUGACUUUCGAAGAUGCUUCAGUUUGAAAUCUUUCGGACAGUACUCGCAGUGCCGUAGCUGGUGCAUGACCAAGUGAUUGAAGACAGUUCAACAAUGAUGGGCAGAGUGGAACUGAAAAAAAGCAGAUGAGGAGACGGACCUUUUCAGUUUCGCAGCGAGGUCUAGUAACUUCGUAAUCGGGCAAGGUGAUGGAUGUUGCUGCUUGUUGAGUUUUUCAUCUCCUGUCAAGUUUGCGCCUGAAAGAAGAGGUGAUGGAGGGACACACUGAGGGCCCAUGCACCUUCACAUUCAGUCGUACCUUUGGACUGUGUUAAAUAUUUCAAUAUUGGAACAGUUGAUUAAUAGUAAUUGUU